AGUAACUAUCACAUCUAAUACUAUUCUAGUUCCAAGAGUGUCAUUUAUGUCAAAAUUGAUACCUAUGUAUUGUUUUUUUUUGGUCUUAUGUACUUUUACUUUUUUUAUCACUAAGUUGCUUUGGGAUAUCAUUGGUACUUAAAGAUCAGUUUCUUUUGUAGGCUUCAUGAACAGUUGACUGAGUCAGAACAGGCUGCCCAGUGUUACAUCAAAUAUAUCCAAGAUAUCUAUUCCUGUGGGGUAUGUAUCAUACCAUGAGAAUUGUACUGCUGAUAUUAUUACUGUCACCUCAGUAAUUUUGCUUUCCCUUUCUAGGAAAUAGUAGAACACUUGGAGGAAAGCACUGCCUUUCGCUAUCUGGCCCAGUACUAUUUUAAGUGCAAACUGUGGGAUGAAGCUUCAACUUGUGCACAAAAGUGUUGUGCAUUUAAUGAUACCCGGGAAGAAGGUAAGGCCUUACUCCGGCAAAU
rnacentral:sRNA from 1 species